GGGUCGUUAGCUCAGUUGGUAGAGCAGCGGACUUUUAAUCCGUUGGUCGGGCGUUCGAGCCGCCCACGGCCUACCA
rnacentral:tRNA from 2 species